UGUGUCUGCGGUGUCGGUCUACCGAUUGCGGUACGACGGGCACGUCUGCGGGGCUUCUCGCCGGUGCGUCCCACCGCCGGUUUGUGUCGCGGUCGUCCGUUCCACGGUCGGCCGCGCACCGAGGCGGGCCGUCGCGGCUGUUUACUUUGAACAAAUUAGAGUGCUCAAAGCGGGCUAACACUCGCCUGAAUAUUGUACGCAUGGAAUAAUAGAAUAGGACCUCGGUUCUGUUUUGUUGGCUUUCUGAUACCAGAGGUAAUGAUUAAUAGGGACAACUGGGGGCAUUCGUAUUGCGACGUUAGAGGUGAAAUUCUUGGAUCGUCGCAAGACGGACUAAAGCGAAAGCAUUUGCCAAAGGUGUUUUCAUUAAUCAAGAACGAAAGUUAGAGNUUCGAAGGCGAUUAGAUACCGCUGUAGUUCUAACCAUAAAUGAUGCCAGCCAGCGAUCCGCCGAAGUUUCAUAAUUUUAACUCGGUGGGCAGCUCCCGGGAAACCAAAGCUUUC
rnacentral:rRNA from 1 species